ACCUGGGUGGCUCAGUCGGUUAAGCACCUGACUUCAGCUCAGGUCAUGAUCUCACGGCCAUGGGUUCAAGCCCCGCAUCGGGUU
rnacentral:tRNA from 1 species